rnacentral:misc_RNA from 1 species
GAGAACCAAGAGAUCCGUUGUUGAAAGUUUUGAAGAUUUUUUGAAUUUAAUCAACAAAUUGACAAUUAAAUAAAUAACAAUUCAAUAUAAAUAUUGAAGUUUAGUUCAGUAAACCUCUGGCCCAAACUAUUUCUAGUCCAGACCAAAGCAAAAGUUCUUGUAAUAACAAAAAACACUGUGUGUAAGGUUUUUUCGCCGCGCAAUUAAGCGCUGGCAAAAAGAAUACUGUAAUGAUCCUU